rnacentral:rRNA from 3 species
UAGUGAUAGCUGGUUGUUCAGGAAAAGAGUUUUAGCUCUACCUUAAGCUUCUUGAUUAUACCAAAAACCCCUUAAAACUUAAGAGCCAUUCAAAUAAGGCACAGCUUAUUUGAAACAGGACACAACCUCUGAUACCGGGUAAACAAGGGAGAUUCAAACAAAGUCGGCCUAAAAGCAGCCACCUUUAAAAAAGCGUUAAAGCUUAAUUUUAAACUACCCAUAAUUUCCUAAAUUCCCAUUAACCCUUCACCACUACUGAACUAUUUUAUACUAUAUAAAAGCUAUUAUGCUAGAACUAGUAACAAGAAAUAGCCCUUCUCCAAAAUGUAAGCUUACACCAAAAUGGACAAUCCAUUGGUAGUCAACGCGAAUGUCAUAAUUACAGCAACAUACCUCUAGAAGACCCUGUGACCUCUUACGUUACCCUUACACUUGAACAUCUUAGGAAAGAUUAAAAGAGAAAGAAGGAACUCGGCAAAUCCUCAGCCCCGCCUGUUUACCAAAAACAUCGCCUCUUGACCAAAUAUAAGAGGUCCAGCCUGCCCAGUGAUAAAAUUCAACGGCCGCGGUACCCUAACCGUGCAAAGGUAGCAUAAUCACUUGUUCUCUAAAUAGGGACUAGUAUCAACGGCACCACGAGGGCUGUACUGUCUCCUUUCUCCCAUCAGUGAAACUGAUCUCCCCGUGAAAAAGCGGGGAUUGUUAUAUAAGACGAGAAGACCCCAUGGAGCUUUAAACUCAUCACCCAUUUCCUCACUUCUAUACCCAACCAUAUAAGGAACCUGUGUGAUAGUUUUGGGUUGGGGGGACCACGGAGUACAAUUUAACCUCCAUGACAAAUGGGCUACGCCCUUAUCUACGAACUACAACUCUAAGAAUCAUAAGCUGAUGUUUAAUGACCCGAUAAUUCGAUCAACGAACCAAGUUACCCUGGGGAUAACAGCGCAAUCUACUUUGAGAGCCCCUAUCGACAAGUAGGUUUACGACCUCGAUGUUGGAUCAGGGCAUCCUGGGGGUGCAGCCGCUCCUAAUGGUUCGUUUGUUCAACGAUUAAAACCCUACGUGAUCU